AGUGAACGCUGGCGGUAGGCCUAACACAUGCAAGUCGAACGGCAACACAGUAAGAGCUUGCUCUGACGGGUGGCGGGUGGCGUACGGGUGCGGAAUACAUCGGGAGCUACUUUUUCGUGGGGGGUAACGUAGGGAAACUUACGCUAAUACCGCAUACGAACUACGGGUGAAAGCAGGGGAUCUUCGGACCUUGCGCGAUUGAAUGAGCCGAUGUCGGAUUAGCUAGUUGGCGGGGUAAAGGCCCACCAAGGCGACGAUCCGUAGCUGGUCUGAGAGGACGACCAGCCACACUGGGACUGAGACACGGCCCAGACUCCUACGGGAGGCAGCAGUGGGGAAUUGUGGACAAGGGGCGCAAGCCUGAUCCAGCAAUGCCGCGUGCGGGAAGAAGGCCUUCGGGUUGUAAACCGCUUUUGGCAGGAACGAAACGGUGUCCGCUAAUACCGGGCGCUAAUGACGGUACCUGCAGAAUAAGCACCGGCUAACUACGUG
rnacentral:rRNA from 1 species